rnacentral:tRNA from 1 species
GCCGCAGUGGUGAAAUUGGUAUACACGCAGUCUUCAGAAGGCUGUCCGCCUUAGGCGGAUGAGAGUUCGAGUCUCUCCUGCGGCACCA